GACGAACGCUGGCGGCGUGCCUAAUACAUGCAAGUAGAACGCUGAAGAGAGGAGCUUACUCUUCUUGGAUGAGUUGCGCACGGGUGAGUAACGCGUAGGUAACCUGCCUUGUAGCGGGGGAUAACUAUUGGAAACGAUAGCUAAUACCGCAUAACAAUGGAUGACACAUGUCAUUUAUUUGAAAGGGGCAAUUGCUCCACUACAAGAUGGACCUGCGUUGUAUUAGCUAGUAGGUGAGGUAAUGGCUCACCUAGGCGACGAUACAUAGCCGACCUGAGAGGGUGAUCGGCCACACUGGGACGGAGACACGGCCCAGACUCCUGCGGGAGGCAGCAGUAGGGAAUCUUCGGCAAUGGGGGCAAACCUGACCGAGCAACGCCGCGUGAGUGAAGAAGGUUUUCGGAUCGUAAAGCUCUGUUGUAAGUCAAGAACGGGUGUGAGAGUGGAAAGUUCACACUGUGACGGUAGCUUACCAGAAAGGGACGGCUAACUACGUG
rnacentral:rRNA from 1 species